GAGAAAGAGAGAGAGAGAGAGGGAAAUAUAAUAUUAGUUCAAACUUUACACAGAAUAUCGCAUAUAUAAGCAACGCCAGAUAAUUUUAAGUAAUAGUGAAUGUUUUUCUUAAUGAAAAUAGCAUUUUUAUAAAGAAAAUUAUAAAUCUAUGUGCAAAUUUUUCCCUAUGCAGCUAGUAAUCUGUCAUGGUGAUUACAUAACAUACUAGAUAUAUAUCAUAUUCAUAGAAUAUAAUUCACUUUCAAGAUGCCUUGAUUAGUGUCAAUUUUUAAAGAAUAAAUCACACCCUAUAUUGUAAAAGAAAAAUAGCUCAAGAGCAAAUUAUGUGAUUCAAUAAAUGUUGUCUCAGUAUUGUGAUUUCAUUGACAGCAGCACAGUAAAAUCUGAACAGUAAAGAUUGCAUACCCAGUUGUUGGGGUCACUAUGACAUCAACCUUUUUAAAAAUUUCCAUGUGAUGGUACAUUAAUCUUCGCCUGAAACAAAAUGGAUAGAAUGAAAAAGAAUGAAAUGUAACCAACUGCAGAACUUUAAUUUGAGCAAAGGAUCUGUCACGUAUAGGAGGAGAAAGUU
rnacentral:misc_RNA from 1 species